rnacentral:lncRNA from 10 species
AUUAUUUGCUUAGGAACAAAAAUAAUCAAAAUAAAAAACACCUGCAGUUGCUCAUCAAGAGCAGGAAUCCAGAGAGAGAAAAUUUUCACCCUGGCUUUAGUCUUAUAAAGGUGCUCAUUCUCGCAUUGGACCAAAACGUCGAGAGACAUGGAUCUGAGUCUUGGUUUUGUAAUUAUUUCUCUUGUGACUGCAGGAAUCUUCCUUCAACUUUCUGGUCCUGAAAGACCAGGUCCAUAAAAGGAUGUGGUUGGAGCAGAUAAUCUGCAGCAGCUCUGGUGUGCCUGAAACUGUCAGCAGUUAAACCGCUCCUGUUCCUUUUUGAGAUCUUAAUCAGAAAUGAAUAUGCAUCAAAGACACCCCAGAGCGAGACCCUCUUCCGUGUUAUUUCUACUGAAUGAGAGGCAGGAACUGCAUCAGUGUUUUGGAUGUCGUGAACUAUGGCCAUGAGACUAGAGUCCCCAGGAUGACACUCCACCAUCUGACUCAUGCUGAGGGCUCACACUGGCCCCUGAUAUUAUUUCUGAAGCCCUAACACUGAACGUAAAAACCUGGGAGAGAACUGUACGGAAGGACUCCAGGAUCCUGAUAGCCCCCAUGGAACAGGGCUUCGUGGAUUCAGGCGUCAGAAUCAAGCCUAGAGAGAGGAGAUGUUUACCGCUCAUGGCAGAGUGAGGCCUCGCGGUGAAUGGAAAGCAUGGCUGGGCACAGGGGUGGUCCUGAUGGAGGGGCCAGAGGCUGAUGAUGGCGUGGAGGCCCUGACACAGGGCAGCCCCGCCAGCCUCUGCAUGGCCGGGGGAGUUACACCCUUGAGGACGGGUUCCAGGAAUAAGAUGUGUGAUAUGCAGAAGACAACAGGGCCUUUGUGUGGAAAGGCAUCCGUGAAUUAACACCAAUGGCGGAGAGCAGGCAGUAGGGAAGCGGCCGCGGUGGGCGCUGUUCCGCACCCCAUGUGGUCUGGCUUGCACGGCCAGGGCAGCCCAGGCGUC